rnacentral:sRNA from 1 species
UACCCUACGGCCAUGUCUCAGGUCCGCCGCAACUCCUGAGUUCCCGUAGGGCGGCUGGUCCGGAUGCGGACAGAGUGGCCUCUUCGACAUGCCGCUCCGGACCAGCCACUCU